rnacentral:rRNA from 1 species
UACGAAGGGGGCUAGCGUUGCUCGGAAUGACUGGGCGUAAAGGGCGCGUAGGCGGCUCAUACAGUCAGAUGUGAAAUUCCUGGGCUUAACCUGGGGGCUGCAUUUGAUACGUGUGGGCUUGAGUGGGGAAGAGGGUCGUGGAAUUCCCAGUGUAGAGGUGAAAUUCGUAGAUAUCAAGCGGAACACCGGUGGCGAAGGCGGCCUUCUGGACGAUGACUGACGCUGAGACGCGAAAGCGUGGGGAGCAAACAGG